AUUGAACGCUGGCGGCAGGCCUAACACAUGCAAGUCGAACGGGUGGCGGACGGGUGAGCAAUGUCUGGGAAACUGCCUGAUGGAGGGGGAUAACUACUGGAAACGGUAGCUAAUACCGCAUACCAUCGGAUGGGGCCAGAUGGGAUUAGCUAGUGGGUGGGGUAAAGGCUCACCUAGGCGACGAUCCCUAGCUGGUCUGAGAGGAUGACCAGCCAAACUGGAACUGAGACACGGUCCAGACUCCUACGGGAGGCAGCAGUGGGGAAUAUUGCACAAUGGGCGAAAGCCUGAUUCAGCCAUGCCGCGUGAGUGAAGAAGGCCUUCGGGUUGUAAAGCACUUUCAGCGGGGAGGCGUUACCCACAGAAGAAGCCCCGGCUAACUCCGUGCCAGCAGCCGCGGUAAUUC
rnacentral:rRNA from 1 species